rnacentral:misc_RNA from 1 species
GAAAUGCGAUACGUAGUGUGAAUUGCAGAAUUCAGUGAAUCAUCGAAUCUUUGAACGCACAUUGCGCCCUUUGGUAUUCCAAAGGGCAUGCCUGUUCGAGCGUCAUUUGUACCCUCAAGCUUUGCUUGGUGUAGGGCGUUUUUUGUCUUUGGCUCGCCCAAAGACUCGCCUUAAAACGAUUGGCAGCCGGCCUACUGGUUUCGCAGCGCAGCACAUUUUUGCGCUUGCAAUCAGCAAAAGAGGACGGCAAUCCAUCAAGACUCCUUCUCACGUUUGACCUCGGAUCAGGUAGGGAUACCCGCUGAACUUAAGC